CCCUACGGGGCGCAGCAGGCGCGAAAACUUUACAAUGCGGGAAACCGUGAUAAGGGAACUCCGAGUGCCCGUAAAAUCGGGCUGUCCAUCUGUUUAAAUAACAGGUGAAGAAAGGGCCGGGCAAGACCGGUGCCAGCCGCCGCGGUAAUACCGGCGGCUCGAGUGGUGGCCACUAUUACUGGGCUUAAAGCGUUCGUAGCUGGUCUGUUAAGUCUCUGGGGAAAUCUACUGGCUUAACCAAUAGGCGUUUCAGGGAUACCGGCAGACUAGGGACCGGGAGAGGUGAGAGGUACUCCAGGGGCAGGAGUGAAAUCUUGUAAUCC
rnacentral:rRNA from 1 species